rnacentral:misc_RNA from 1 species
GGGCAAAAAAGAGAGAGAGAACCUUAAUCCUUUAACCACCUUCUGCCCUCUCUCUUUCUCUCUUCAUUAAUGGCUUCCGUCCCUCAUUUCUACUCCAACUAUCAGUUUUCUCCUGAGGAAUUCUCAGAUAUUUCGUCCGUAAUUGCUCAAGAAAAUUAUGGUGGUAUAUUUGCUAGCACUUCAACUGCCAGAGUCUCAUGUGGUGCAAUUUCCACUACUGCUGGUGCAACGUUGGGCCAUGAGCAGAACCUUCCCUUUUUAUAUGAUAAUAAUGGAGGGCUUGAGGGUUUUCCAGUCGAGUCUGAUAUCUUGUCGCGGGUUUCAAUGACGACGACCCCUUUCCCUGAGCGACUUGGGGUUUCCGAGAUGGUUGUGCCCUCAUUGACGGACUACAAAAUGGGUUUUAGUGGCAUUGCCAAAAUUCACAACUUUGGAGGCGGAUUUCAAUAUUCGGAUACCUGUGAGUAUGGAGAGGAUUGCUGUGGAUUGGUGCAAAAUUUCAAGUCUGUCUAUCCUGAUUUUGGAGAAAAUUGGAGAAUUCAAUGCAAUCAAAUGCCAGCCAUGGAACACACCAAUAUAAGGGUAGGCCGGUAUACAGUGGAAGAAAGAAAAGAUAGAAUUCUAAGGUACUUGAAGAAGAGAAACCAAAGAAACUUCAAUAAGACCAUCAAGUAUGCUUGUCGCAAAACCCUAGCUGACCGGAGAGUUCGUGUCCGGGGAAGAUUUGCAAGGAACAAUGAACUAUGUGAAGACGAAAAUGGUGGGAAAAAGAGUGACAAUCCUCUCCAAGAAAAAGAAUCAUAUAGCAAUGAUGCCCUCGAGAUGAAGAAUGAUGAUGAUGAUUGGCUGCAAGAGGCUGUAGCAAGUCUAAUGUGUGUGCCAUAUAUAGCUGGGUGACCCAACUAAUUGGUUGUUUGGAAAAUGGACAGCGACUGAUGGAUAAAAGAUCGUUGGCUAUCACAAGCAACGUUUAAUUUGUGGAUGAUGGAUGGAUCAUGGACGUAGCAAGCUAAGCUAGCUAGAGGGAGUAGUAGUGUUAGGUUUAUGAAUCUUAACAUAUUUUCAUCAUAUUGGGUUGCUUUCAAUGCAAAUUGAAGUUAAAAAGAGAAAGAUUCACCUAACUAUCUUAGUAUAUAUAAUCUCCAACUCCUUUUUCACAUUAACAAUGACAUGAAAGUUUUGGAACAACUUUACAUUGUAAUUAAUGUUGUACAUGAUCAUAUUGAAGGCAUCUUGGGAUUUUU